ensembl:lncRNA
GUCCUUGUCGCGAUCUACCCUUAUCUUGCUGUGUGUUCUGUCUAUAAUGUGAAAUGUCCGCGGAAGGCUUCCAGCGGCGGCGGCCACUCCCUCCCUUUCUGAACGGCACAAAGCAUAGCCAUCGUUUCACCACAUCAGCAUAUUGGUGGUGACUUACGGAAGAGCACCCCCUGGAGGCGAGUGUUCCUGAAGCUCCUCUUGGCCCACCCAGUUCAGCUCAGAGCCAACACCAACCUGGUGUCAUCAUCAGAAAUCUCAGAUAUUCACAUAUUAGGCAAGUCAAGCACAUGAACAGCACCUUUUAAUUACCAUUCUCUUCUGGACUGCUGGGUCCUCCAGCUGGGUCUCCAUCUCAUCCAGCUCCUUCAGGGUCCUCAGAGGGAGCUCCAUGUCCAGUGCCUCCACCUCCUCUUCGUCGUCAGCAGUCUGACCCUGCAGUCGGGCUUGGAUGUCCCUCAGCACCACCCACUGCUUCUGUUGCUCUUCUUUGAUCUCCACCAGCAAGGAGAUGAUCUUUUGCAGAGUGCUGAUCUCUGGAGAAGAAAAAGAGAA